rnacentral:rRNA from 1 species
UACGAAGGGGGCUAGCGUUGCUCGGAAUUACUGGGCGUAAAGGGCGCGUAGGCGGACAGUUUAGUCAGAGGUGAAAGCCCAGGGCUCAACCCUGGAAUUGCCUUUGAUACUGGCUGUCUUGAGUACGGGAGAGGUGUGUGGAACUCCGAGUGUAGAGGUGAAAUUCGUAGAUAUUCGGAAGAACACCAGUGGCGAAGGCGACACACUGGCCCGUUACUGACGCUGAGGCGCGAAAGCGUGGGGAGCAAAC